GACGAACGCUGGCGGCGUGCUUAACACAUGCAAGUCGAACGGAAAGGCCCUGCUUUUGUGGGGUGCUCGAGUGGCGAACGGGUGAGUAACACGUGAGUAACCUGCCCUUGACUUUGGGAUAACUUCAGGAAACUGGGGCUAAUACCGGAUAGGAGCUCCUGCUGCAUGGUGGGGGUUGGAAAGUUUCGGCGGUUGGGGAUGGACUCGCGGCUUAUCAGCUUGUUGGUGGGGUAGUGGCUUACCAAGGCUUUGACGGGUAGCCGGCCUGAGAGGGUGACCGGCCACAUUGGGACUGAGAUACGGCCCAGACUCCUACGGGAGGCAGCAGUGGGGAAUAUUGCACAAUGGGCGGAAGCCUGAGGCAGAAACGCCGCGUGCGGGAUGACGGCCUUCGGGUUGUAAACCGCUUUCGCCUGUGACGAAGCGUGAGUGACGGUAAUGGGUAAAGAAGCACCGGCUAACUACGUG
rnacentral:rRNA from 1 species